rnacentral:rRNA from 1 species
GGCCUUUUGUAUUUAAUUGAAGGUCUGACCUGCCCGGUGAUUUAUUUAACGGCCGCGGUAUAUUGACCGUGCAAAGGUAGCAUAAUCAUUAGUCUUUUAAUAGAGGGCUGGAAUGAAAGGUUUGACGAAGGAUAGUCUGUCUCAUUUUAUUUGUGUUAAAACUUAAUUUUUUAGUAAAAAAGCUAAAAUGCUGUUGGAAGACGAGAAGACCCUAUAGAUCUUUAUAUAAAUUUAUGUAAUUAUUUAUAUAUUAAUAUGAUUACAUUAAUUUUUAUUUUGUUGGGGUGACAAAAAUAUAUAAUUAACUUUUUUAUUUAUAAUACAUUGAUUAGUGUUUAAUUGAUCCAUUAUUAUUGAUUAUUAGAACAAGUUACCUUAGGGAUAACAGCGUAAUCCUCCUUGGAAGUUCUUAUUUACAGGAUGGGCUUGCGACCUCGAUGUUGGAUUAAGAUUAUAGUUAGGUGUAGCCGCUUAAUAUAUAGGUCUGUUCGACCUUUAAAUUCUU